AUUGAACGCUGGCGGCAGGCCUAACACAUGCAAGUCGAGCGAGCGGCGGACGGGUGAGUAAUGUCUGGGAAACUCCCUGUUGGAGGGGGAUAACUCCUGUGAACGGUGGCGAAUACCGCAUACGCUCAGAUGUGCCCCGAUGGGAUUAGCUAGUGGGUGGGGUAACGGCUCACCUAGGCGACGAUCCCUAGCUGGUCUGAGAGGAUGACCAGCCACACUGGAACUGAGACACGGUCCAGACUCCUACGGGAGGCAGCAGUGGGGAAUAUUGCACAAUGGGCGCAAGCCUGAUGCAGCCAUGCCGCGUGUGUGAAGAAGGCCUUCGGGUUGUAAAGCACUUUCAGCGGGGAGGCGUUACCCGCAGAAGAAGCACCGGCUAACUCCGUGCCAGCAGCCGCGGUAAUAC
rnacentral:rRNA from 1 species